AGCUCCAAUAGCGUAUAUUAAAGUUGUUGCAGUUAAAAAGCUCGUAGUUGGAUUUCGGAAUGGGCCAGUUGGUCCGCCGCAAGGUGAGUUACUGACUGGUUUGUUCUUCUUCGCAAAGACUGCGUGUGCUCUUUACUGAGUGUACGUAGGAUUUACGACGUUUACUUUGAAAAAAUUAGAGUGUUCAAAGCAGGCUAUCGCUUGAAUACAUGAGCAUGGAAUAAUGGAAUAGGACUGUGGUUCUAUUUUGUUGGUUUCUAGGUCCGAAGUAAGGAUUAAGAGGGACAAUUGGGGGCAUCCGUAUUUCGUUGUCAGAGGUGAAAUUCGUGGAUUUACGAAAGACGAACAACUGCGAAAGCCCUUGCCAAGAGUGUUUUCA
rnacentral:rRNA from 1 species